AAUGAACGCUGGCGGCGUGCUUCAGACAUGCAAGUCGUACGCGAAAGCCCGCAAGGGUGAGUAAAGUGGCGCACGGGUGAGUAUAAUUUAGGUAACGCGCCUUCUCGCUGUGAUAACUAGACGAAAGUUUAGCUAAUACAGAAUAAUCCGUUUGGAACUGCGGUUCUGAUCGGUAAAGUCGCAAGACGCGAGAAGAGUGG
rnacentral:rRNA from 1 species